UGUUGUGAGGCUCCAUUCAUGUUUUCCCUCCAGUUUUCCCCCAUUUUGCCGUAAAUUCAGAGAACGGAAAAACUGGAAAGUUAGUGAGAUAUUUGUAUAAAGAUAUCAACAACAGAACUCAGGGAUGCUCUGCACCACCAUGACUCAUCAGGAUUCAUCUUAAAAUGGAUUUCAAGAGAUCACCAGUGUAACAAGCUUAUAAUGAUCUGAAUAUGAUGAAGCCCUACAACUUAUCAGGUGGCAUUACAACUGCAUCUCCUAAGGACCAAAUUAUCACCCUUGAAGUCAACGGUGUCAGCAAGGCCUGAAUGAACGAACGCAGGGAGAUUCAAGCUCAACUGAAUCAAGGGCUGACACCUGCUGCAGUCUUGGAAAUCAACAUGUGAAGCAAACGUGUAGAUGAUUUUGAACAUGAACACAACUGAUGGUUGUACCAAAUUUUGCCUGAAAAUUUGCUCAAUAUUUAUCAAAUUUUUCUCAAAUUUUGCUGGAAAAUGCAACAAGACUAUAUAGCUAUGCGUAUUUAACAAAUUUUGCCUGAGAAUGCAACAAGCAACGUUGGAUAAAUAAAAGCCUUGCAUAUUUAUCCAAUGUUGCUCAAAGUUUGCUGCAUAAUCGAAUGUUGCUCAAAUUUUGUCUAAAAAUGCAAUAAUGCUAUAGCCUUGCAUAUUUAUCCAAUGUUGCUAAAGAUUUGCUGCGUAUUUAUCAAGUUUUGUCUAAAAAUGUGGCUUUAUCAAAUGUUGCCUGAAAUGUGUGCAAGGCUAUAUAUAGCCUCAUGGUUUUAACAAAUUGUCUGAAAAGUGUACAAGGCCUUAUGGUUUUAUCAAAUUUUGCCUGAAAAUAAGGCUAUAUCAAAUUUAGUUGCCUGAGAAUGUGUUCAAGCUAUAGCUUUAUGGUUUUAUCAUAUUUGGCCUAAAAAUGUGGUGUAAUCAAAUUUUGAUUUUGCCUGAAAAUGUGGCCACUUUUUGCCUGGAAAUGUGUGCAAGACAUGGCUUUAUUAAAUGUUGCCUUAAAAUGUGUGCAAGACUAAACUCCUUAUGAUUUUAUCAAAUUUUUCCUGAAAAUGUGCCUUUGUCAAGUUAAAAGGCUGGUUUAUAGUCGGUCGCGCGAUAGUCAUCUUGACGCACAGUCAUAAAAAUACACAGUUUAUAGGCCUCAGUCUCAGGAUUGCGCGCAAGAUUUCCAUCGCACGACCGUCGUGCGACCGACUACAAACCAGCCUUAAGAAUGUCUACAAUACUAUAGCUUUAUGGUUUUGUCAAAUUUUGCCUGAAAGUGUGGUUUUAUCAAAUUUUGCCUGAAAAUGUGGCUUUAUCAAAUUUUGCCUG